GUCCGGCCUGAGUUCCAGGGGAGCCGAAAGCGGACCUUUGGAUAUCUCUUAUUCGCUAAAGCUAAUAUACGUGGCACUUAAUAAAAUUAAAAAUUGGGUGCGAAUGCCGAAGGACCAAGAGGAAGAGGGAGAGGGAGGAGAUGACGCGAGGAAAGCAGAAGAUAGAGGCGCAGAGGAGAAAUGCGGAGAAGAAUCAAAAGCCAAAGGGGUCUCAGAUGGAGGCCAGAGCCGUAGCCCUCAAAGCAAGCUGCCCCAUCUGCAAGGUACAAUUAGCAAAUGCGAAACAGCUUGGUGAUCAUUACACCUCCAAACAUCCAAAGGAAAGGCCUCCUGCUGAAUCAAGUUGAUUGCUUUCCCAUGUAAAAAUGCAAAAAGGAAAAAGGGGAAAAAAAAGAAGAAGCUUUUCCUGUGUGAUUUCUGGACAUUGUGUGUUAAUUGUGUGUUAUUCUAAACCAACGAAAAUGACUCUUACCUGUUUGCCUUUCACUUUCAGUGAUGUGAAGAAUUGUACGACACUAGGAUGAUAAUAAAGCAGUUCUAUCACUUGUCCGGGUUAAUAUCGACGAAUUCAUAAUAGAAUAUGGAUACACUGAACUUAUGUGCAUAUGAUGCUUGAGAAAAUUGUAGAAUGAAUAAAAUUUUAAAUCCCUUGUGCCA